CACGGGUGAGUAGCACGUAUCCAACCUGCCGUCUACUCUUGGACAGCCUUCUGAAAGGAAGAUUAAUACAAGAUGGCAUCAUGAGUCCGCAUGUUCACAUGAUUAAAGGUAUUCCGGUAGACGAUGGGGAUGCGUUCCAUUAGAUAGUAGGCGGGGUAACGGCCCACCUAGUCUUCGAUGGAUAGGGGUUCUGAGAGGAAGGUCCCCCACAUUGGAACUGAGACACGGUCCAA
rnacentral:rRNA from 1 species